AUGAAGGAACCCAAGAAGGUCAAUGUGAGGUCGGCCGAUAUCUAUCGUAAUAGCAGCCAUCGCGAUGGGUCGAUAUUCAAAAACUCUAUUCUCCAAAGCAUAGGUCAUGUUACAAAGCGUGAUGAGACACAACUGGAGCCAAUGAAGUUUUCAGAUCCCAAUAAUUGCUUUCCUGACUAGCAAAGGUGUUGUAUACAUUUUGUAUGUAACAUGAUGCAAUUUUUGUCAUUGAAAUUGGCUAAAGUUUCUGCAAACACAAGCUUAGUACAAUUAUAUGGAUAUAUAGCAGUGCGAGAUUCUCGGGAUUUGUUGCUUAAUUAUAUUGUCAAUCGUAGCAGGGACGAUCCCAUUGUGGUGAAACAGGUGCACAUCUUUACUUAUACACAACUAUUUCAAAUAAUUCAUUUAUUUUAUAGUGUAAGCGGGCAUUUUAAUAUGAGGAUCAAGACAGGAGGGCAAAAAGAAGAUGAUGAUCUACAACUUAUCGACGGUGUAGUAGAGUACAUCAAAGCAAAUGCACCUUUUCGUCCAUUCACAGAGCGCAUUAAUGGUAAUUGUGGCGCGGUUGACAUCACUUUAGCACGCGUUCCCGAUGCAGUGGAGGCCACAAUAGAUGUUAUCAUAUAAAAAAUGCAGAGUGGAUUCGAUUUAUCUCUCAGUUCGUUUGUGUUUAUCGGUGGGUCACAUAAGGAGAUUGAGCUCUUUUGUGGUAUUAUUGGUAAGUCAUGUGGUUUAACAAGAAGGCAUGUGAUUGCUAUACAGGAGGAUACUUGGAUGUAUUUGAAGCUCAAGGUAGGUCAGAAAGGCUCUAAUUACAAUGAUGUAGAACGGUAUUGUCAAUUCAAAGCAAACAUUCAUGUAUGUGCCUAUAAAGAAAUAAUGCUUAAGCAUGCCUCUAUCUUGGUGAAGGUGACUUGGUCGAUCAUACCAUAA
rnacentral:rRNA from 1 species